AACGAACGCUGGCGGCAUGCCUAACACAUGCAAGUCGAACGAUUGCCUUCGGGUGAUAGUGGCGCACGGGUGCGUAACGCGUGGGAAUCUGCCCUUAGGUUCGGAAUAACAGCUGGAAACGGCUGCUAAUACCGGAUGGUAUCGCGAGAUCAAAGAUUUAUCGCCUGAGGAUGAGCCCGCGUUGGAUUAGGUAGUUGGUGGGGUAAAGGCCUACCAAGCCGACGAUCCAUAGCUGGUCUGAGAGGAUGAUCAGCCACACUGGGACUGAGACACGGCCCAGACUCCUACGGGAGGCAGCAGUGGGGAAUAUUGGACAAUGGGCGCAAGCCUGAUCCAGCAAUGCCGCGUGAGUGAUGAAGGCCCUAGGGUUGUAAAGCUCUUUUACCCGGGAAGAUAAUGACUGUACCGGGAGAAUAAGCCCCGGCUAACUCCGUG
rnacentral:rRNA from 1 species